AUUUGUUGUUUGAUUGAAUUUUGGGAAAUUUAGGGCUAGUAAUUUGAUUUGUAUUAAUUGAUUUGACUAGAGGUUGAUGAUGAUUUCUAUAGGGCGAGCAGACCUCCGCCACCGCUAAAAAGUCCUGUGUAUGAAUUAAGAUCCAAGGCCUCAUCUCUGGUAAAAAUCAUAAAGAAGAGGAUCCCCAACUUUAGUAAUUGCACGAGGUGGAUUUGCAGGGUUGGUUCCAGAUUCUAGUGCAACUGCAUACCCGUUUGCAGUCGGGGUUAGUGUUCCAGAUUUGGUGUUAUGGUGUGAUGUUCAAUUGUCAAGAGAUGGAGUUAGAACAUGCUUCCCUAAUAUCAAACUGGACAAUUCCUCUGCCAUUCAAAAUGUGUUAAUUUCUAAAUGCGAGCAAUUCUAACUGAAGGAAUAUAUACUUGAAGUACUGCUUUGGAUGGUGCAUUCCCAAUUCAAAGUGUUGAGGAGGUGUUUAUACAAAGUGAACCCGUAGGUUUCUGGUUAAAUGUUCAGGUUAUCCGUGGUAAAGAUGUAAGUCUAGUACUUACAAGGGGAAGGUUCUUCUGAUUUUUAAUGUCGCUUCCCAAUGUGGUUUAACGAAGUCGGACUACAAGGAAUUGAUCAUUUUGUAUAGGAAGUACAAGGACUAAGAUAGAUGUCAACAAGAAGAGUGCAGCACCACUUUUACAAGUUUUUAAAGUCAAAGAAGUUUGGAGUAAUAUUAGAUGAGAUCAAAUGAAACUUUUCGAAGUUUUUGGUGGACAAACAAGGAAAUGUUGUUGAGAGAUAUGCUCUUGUGACCCCCCCCCCCUUGAAAAUUGAGGUUCUAGUGCGAUGUAAUUCGAGAGACAGCAAAGCAUGAGUUCGAUGCAGAGGAGCCAAUAUUUGUUUUGAAUGAGUUUAUUAUUGAUCGAGGGAUAUCCUCAUACCUCACAAACCUAGAGUGCUACUGUGAUAACACUUUUGUGACGUGUUCAAGCAGACGGAUUAAUUUCAUCCACCACGUCUGGAAGCACUGCGUAUUCAUUGGCAGUUGGAGGAUCGAUGGUCCAUCCACAUGUUUGAUCUAACAAACUAAAACUACUCUACACUUUGCUGAUGAAUAAAUUAAAAAAUCUAUUUGAUGAUGCAAGAAAAAUAAAUAAUACCUUUUAAUUUUGAAUAGUAAUACUGG